AGCGUUGGAAUUNUAGUCUUGGCAUUCGAACGGCGCUGGAUGAUGGGUAAUUCGAUGGAAAUCGAGGUCGUAGAGGGUGACAGCCCCGUGUGCCUGUCGUUCCGGCGUCAUUGUUCGUUUGUCUAUCGAGUAGCGUUCCUUGGGAAUGGAGCGUGAAGUGGGUGGUGAUAUCCAUCUAAAGCUAAAUAUUGGCGAGAGACCGAUAGCGAACAAGUACCGUGAGGGAAAGAUGAAAAGCACUUUGGAGAGAGAGUUAAACAGUAUGCGAAAUCGUUGGAAGCAAGCGAAUCAGUGGGUUUUGCACGGCUGUGUGCCCGGGGACUCGUGUCGGAGUGUGGCCUCUCUGAGGCUGCCUGUGGCGCUGCCAGUCUGCUCGGCUUCGCGGUGAGGUUUUGGUGCAAGGCUUCGGCCAGCCUUCUGAUCCGACCCGUCUUGAAACACGGACCAAGGAGUCUAAUAUGUGUGCGAGUGCUUGGGCGUGAAACCCCAGCGCGAAGGUAACCCGAUAACGCGUUAGCCCCUCGGGGCGCAUCGCGGGUAGUGUUUUAUUCCCUAACAAGAGCAGGUAUGUUGGA
rnacentral:rRNA from 1 species